GUGCUCACUUCGGCAGCACAUAUACUAAAUUUGGAAUGAUACAGAGAAGAUUAGCAUGGCCCCUGCACAGGGAGUAUCGAUAAAUGUGGCCCAACAACAAACAAAU